rnacentral:rRNA from 1 species
UGACUGAGUGGCGGACGGGUGAGUAACGCGUGGGUAACCUGCCCUGUACAGGGGGACAACAGUUAGAAAUGACUGCUAAUACCGCAUAAGCGCACAGGACCGCAUGGUCCGGUGUGAAAAACUCCGGUGGUACAGGAUGGACCCGCGUCUGAUUAGGUAGUUGGCGGGGUAACGGCCCACCAAGCCGACGAUCAGUAGCCGACCUGAGAGGGUGACCGGCCACAUUGGGACUGAGACACGGCCCAAACUCCUACGGAAGGCAGCAG